rnacentral:rRNA from 1 species
UACGUAGGGGGGCUAGCGUUGUCCGGAAUCAUUGGGCGUAAAGAGCGCGUAGGCGGCCCUGUAAGUCCGCUGUGAAAGUCAAAGGGCUCAACCCUUGGAUGCCGGUGGAUACUGCAGGGCUAGAGUCCGGAAGAGGCGAGUGGAAUUCCUGGUGUAGCGGUGAAAUGCGCAGAUAUCAGGAGGAACACCGAUGGCGAAGGCAGCUCGCUGGGACGGUACUGACGCUGAGGCGCGAAAGCGUGGGGGAGCAAACAGG